AUGGCUUCUUUAGAGGACUUCCUGAAGGAACCUUCAGAUGAGUUGCUUGAGCUUUUUACAAAAGAUCAACUCUUGCAAUUAGCUUCUCAUUAUGAUAUCACCAUUACUAGUAGUGAAAAGCGUUUAAAGGAUAGUAUAAAGGACAUUAGAAAUGUGUUGAUCGAUAAUGGUGUUUUGAAAGUUAAGCUAGUUUCCUUCCAACCUAUGGUUACUCCUUUGUCUGAAGCUGCAAUGCAAUUGAGGCUUAGGGAGCUAGCUUUACAGGAGAAACAGCUGGAGGCUAGGGAGAGGGAACGGCAGUUUAAAGAGAAACAAAUGUAUCUUGAACAUGAACGGUUUCUUAAGGAGUUUGAGUUGAAAGUGGCUUCUGAAAGAUCAACUCCUAGAGGUGAUGUUCCUUUGUUCAAUGUUGGUAGCCAUAUUAGGUUAGUGCCUCCUUUUUCUGAGAAAGAUGUUGAGAUAUAUUUUUCUCACUUUGAACGUGUGGCAACCACAUCUAAGUGGCCUAAAAAUGUGUGGACUUUGCUCUUACAAAGUGUUUUGGUAGGUAAAGCCCAGGAAGCUUACUCUGCUUUGAGUCUUGAGAGGAGCACUGAUUAUGAGGUUAAAGCAGCUAUACUGAAAGCAUAUGAGCUAGUUCCUGAAGCUUACCGCCAGCGUUUUAGAAGUUGUGUUAAACUUGUGCAUCACACUUAUGUUGAGUUUGCAAAGCAGAAGGAGAGUCUGUUUGAUCGGUGGUGUACAUCUCAGAGGGUGGUAAAUAAGGAGCAACUUAGACAACUUAUUUUGCUUGAAGAAUUUAAGAACUGUCUGCCUGAAGUUGUGUCUGUUUAUUUGAAUGAGCAGAAGGCAGUAACUUUAGAGCAAGCUGCUAUUUUGGCAGAUGAGUUUGUCUUGACUCAUAAGGUAAACUUUGGUGACGAACAGGUCUCAGAGUAAGGACCAGAACAAUACUUUCCGAUUUGGAAAGUUACCUGAUUCAUCUUAUGAUGAGAAAAUGGCUAGUGAUGGUUCAACUUCAGAGAGGGCCUGUUUUUACUGUAAGAGACCAGGUCAUCUUAUUGCAGACUGUCCUGUUCUAAGUAGGAAGCAGAAAUUCACAAAAACUGUAGCGUUUGUAAGUUCUCCAGUGUUAAGUCUACCUUUGUCAUCUUCACUUGCAAUUGAGAAAGUGGAAUGCAAGAAGGAAGCGUUAGCUGGCUCAUCAUUUUUGAUGGAUGGUUUUGUAUGUUUGUCCUCUGACCCAGAACAUAGACAAGCUAUUAAGAUUUGGAGAGAUACUGGAGCUUUUCAAUCUGUGGUUCUUCAGGAUGUAUUGUCUCUUAAUGAAAAAUCGGCACAAGGUUCAGAGUUACUGCCCAUAUUUAUACAGAGCAGCUAGAAUGACUGAGACACAACAACACUCCACCAAAGACUUAUUGAGAUUGAGAACUUGUGACACACUAAAAUGUCCAAAGAACAACAGUUAAGGUUCCGUGGACAUGGUGGAAAUGAUGAAGAACUUGUCCACCGUGGAGAUGAGGAAAGUGCCAGUCUGGUUGGAACUGGAGCAAUGGCUCGAGCUGAAAUCGCCAGUGUGUCAGCUAAAGCCGGUCCAUUUGGUGUGAAAGUGGGACUUGGAUUUGACACGGGUGCAUCUGCUGGUCUGGAUGGGGUGGAGGCCAAAGUCCUGGGAACUGGAUUCUCAGUUGGUCCAAGAACUGGUGUAGCUGUUCUAGGCAAUGAAGCGUCAUGUUCAGUCAUGUAGUCACAGAGGAAUUAAUUACCUUGGAAUAUUUAUGUGUAACAUUUUACUACCAAACCAUGAAGACAAAAACCUUAUUAAAAAUAUUUUUUUAAAUGUAAAUCAGCUUUAUUGCAGAAUUGGUACAGAAUUAUACUUUAACAAUAUGAAAAUGUUUUAUUUUAGAUGUUAUAAUUCCACAAUUGUUUUAAUAUAAUAAAUAUUUGUAUUUGGUUA